rnacentral:tRNA from 1 species
GGUGUAGCUCAACUGGUAGAGUAGCGGUCUCCAAAACCGUUGGUUGUGGGUUCGAUUCCUACCACC